ACGCUCGACACCUACGGAGGCAGCAGUGGGGAAUAUUGCACAAUGGGGGAAACCCUGAUGCAGCGACGCCGCGUGAGCGAAGAAGUAUUUCGGUAUGUAAAGCUCUAUCAGCAGGGAAGAAAAUGACGGUACCUGACUAAGAAGCCCCGGCUAACUACGUGCCAACAGCCGCGGUAAUCUGAGCGGGCUGGCAAGGC
rnacentral:rRNA from 1 species